rnacentral:tRNA from 1 species
GCCGGGGUAGCCAAGCCAGGCUAAGGCGGAAGACUCGAGAUCUUCUGGCACUUUGUGCCGCCAGGGUUCAAAUCCCUGCCCCGGCGCCA